CCUGAGGUAUUCUCGACAGACCUGUACAAAAAUACUGCCUCAAGAAUUUUAACUCCCCUUCACGUCACAUCAAAAAGUGGUACAUGGACCCAUCAAAAUAAAAGUCAUCAAUUAGUUUAAGCAUAGAUACAAUCUUCCAAAAUGAAAUAAAUACAAUCACAAAAAAAAGUCACCUAGUCCUUAUACAACCACCUAAUCUGAUCAUGCUACAAACACUAUACAACCAGGGUGAUCUCCAUGCGCCCCGCAAGAUCCUCCUGACACAACUUCGGUCAGGUAUGUCUAACUACAUGCCCGUCUCCAAAGUACUAACCGGUAGGACGAUCCUGGUUCUCAUAUGAGGGCAAAGCCCAGAUUUCCACUGUAAUUGUAAAGGUCACCAAUCGAAAUUAACAAAUAUCACAUAGCAAAAUUCUUAUAUUUUCAAAUUCUCAAAAGAACCUUUCGUCUUAGCAUACUCCUCGAAAGGGUUUUUAUAUGUCCAAAAAUGCAUAAACAAUGUUGAAAAAUGAAGUUUUGACAACCUGCAUUGUCGUAGCCGAAUACAAUUGAGAAAAUGCAGAUUUUCAAUUCUAAAAUGGCUCUGAAUCAAUCAACACUUCAAACAUUAAUAUUAUCAAUUAUGAACACAUAAUUAACACCAAAUUAAUCUCCACAAAUUCACACCUCAAUCACACAUCGAAUAUUCAUUAAAUCAAUUAUGAACACAUAAAUACAUCAAAACUUAAUCAACCCAACUUCACACCUCAAAGCAAUUACGACAAAUCACAACAACAACCGAAUAUGUAUAUACAAUCAUCAUAGUAUAACAAACAUGACUCGCGUGCCAAGCACCCUAAUGCAAUGCGUAUAUGCCAAAAUGCAUGAUUCCAGAAUUCCAAACCAAAACCCUCUUCGAGGGGCGUAAAUCAUAAUUGUACAGCCUCUCACAGACCAGUACUAAUUACAGUCGCUCACAGACCAGCACAAUUUUCUAGAGUCCAAUCGCUCACAGAUCAACACACUCUAGAGUGCAAUCUCUCACAGAUCAGCCCGACGCGACAAUCACCGCAAGGAUAAGAUAAACCAACAUUUCACAUGGCAUCAUCCCGUGGCCCAUCACGGUCAUCACUAUCACCAUGGCCCCAUCGCGGUCACCAUGUACUAUGAAAUGCAUGAGCAUACUCUAACUCUUUUCACCAUAAUCAUUAAGUAAAUGCAGCUAUUAAAAGAUUCCCCAUUUUUAAUACUCAUUUAACACUAAUGAUUUUUCAGAUACAACACAGAGCAUACUCAAACAUAAUUAUUCACACUAAUUUUAAUUUCCACAAAACACACAUAAAUCACAUCUCCAAAUCCAAUCCACACAUAAAUUGAAUUAAAUUCAUUUUCCACCAAUUCACACAUAAACUUCUUCUAAAAAAAUUCAUAACAUUAAUUAUGAACACAUUAAUUUCACAAAACAUGAAUCACCAAAAUUUCCAAACAUUAAUCACCCAUAUUCAAUCUCCAAAAUUUUCAACCAUAAAUCACCACAACAACAUUAAUAUAUCAGAGUUCUCCUCACCGCUAACUCGGUGCCAACGGUCUCGAUUCCUUUUCGAGACUCAAGGAGCUAACUACAUAAACAUAAAUAUUUAUAACAAUUUGUUCACAAUAAAAUUAAUCCACACACAACAAAAUUCCUAAAAUUAAAUCUUUCUCACACACCAAACUUUUAAAACCAAAUAAUCUAUAUUAUUUAGUUAAAACUAAAAAAAUAAAUAUUGUCCAAAUUUCACAUACACAUACGCGACUAUUAAAGCACCGAAAUUUUUGAGUUAAUAAAAGACUCAACCUUUUUUUUAAACUCAAUCAAAGAGUAAUUAAAAGAGUAACAUUUUAAACUCUAACGAUUGUUAAUUUUAAUAUAUCUUUUUGCUCAAACUCUUUAACUUAGUUAAAAUUUGAAUUUUUUUCACAACUUUAACAACUCUAAAUUUUUCGUAAAAUUUCAACUUCAGUUCAAACUCAUUUAUCUGAAAAUAACUCAUUACGUAACUCAAACACAUCAAAUUUAAUUACCUCCAAUUCACACCAAAUUCAAUCAAUUCAAUUCCAGAACACAUAUAUAGCACCUCAAUUAAAUUUCAACAAUUCAAACAUAACUCACCCAAUUUCAAAACUCCAUAUUUUUACACAUAAACCACCAAAUUUCAUCAAUUCAUUUUCUACAAAAUCCACAAAUAAAUCACAUCUCAAAAAUUCAUAAUAAUAAUUAUGAACAUAUAAAUCACACAAAACUUGAAUCACUACAAACCACACCUCAAAUUUAAAUUCCACUAAAUUACUCAUAAUCACAUUAAGUUAAUUUUUCACAAAAUCACACCUCACAUACAUCAAAUUUCUUUUCCACAAAAUCAUAAUUAAUGUCCUAAAUGCAAACUAAAAGUUUGGAAUGAGCCCUUACCUUAACGAUAGCUCUAACACGUGAUUACGGUACCGUAAUUAAUUCUGGUAAAAUUUAAGUUCAUGACGUCGCGUCGAAAACUAGCUCACUAGCACCGCAGUGUGGCAAUGAGCAACUUUCUCUUCUAUCACUUCUCGAAUGGAAGCUUAGAUCUAAUAGAUUGAUGGAGGUUUAUUUUUUAGUUUUGUUUAUUUCUUUAAACCCAUGAAAGAGAAAGGUGAAGAAGAAAGGAG
rnacentral:lncRNA from 1 species